CAGCAGCCGCGGGAAUACGUAGGUGGCAAGCGUUGUCCGGAAUUAUUGGGCGUAAAGGGCUCGCAGGCGGUUUCUUAAGUCUGAUGUGAAAGCCCCCGGCUCAACCGGGGAGGGUCAUUGGAAACUGGGAAACUUGAGUGCAGAAGAGGAGAGUGGAAUUCCACGUGUAGCGGUGAAAUGCGUAGAGAUGUGGAGGAACACCAGUGGCGAAGGCGACUCUCUGGUCUGUAACUGACGCUGAGGAGCGAAAGCGUGGGGAGCAAACAGGAUUAGAUACCCCCGUAGUCCCUGUCUCUUAUAA
rnacentral:rRNA from 1 species